AUUGAACGCUGGCGGCAGGCCUAACACAUGCAAGUCGAACGAGUUGCGGACGGGUGAGUAAUUUCUGGGAAACUGCCUGAUGGAGGGGGAUAACUACUGGAAACGGUAGCUAAUACCUCAUACCCUCCUCUUUGCCCAGAUUGGAUUAGCUAGUUGGUGGGUUAACGGCUCACCAAGGCGACGAUCCCUAGCUGUUCUGAGAGGAUGACAAGCCAAACUGGAACGGAGACACGGUCCAGAACCCUACGUGAGGCAGCAGUGGGGAAUAUUGAACAAUGGGCGCAAGCCUGAUGCAGCCAUGCCGCGUGUAUGAAGAAGGCCUUCGGGUUGUAAAGUACUUUCAGCGGGGAGGCGUUACCCGCAGAAGAAGCACCGGCUAACUCCGUGCCAGCAGCCGCGGUAAUAC
rnacentral:rRNA from 1 species